AACGUAGGUGGCGAGCGUUAUCCGGAAUCACUGGGCGUAAAGCGUCUGUAGGUGGUUUAACAAGUCUAUUGUUAAAAAUUGAAGCUUAACUUCAAAGAUGCAAUGGAAACUUUUAAACUUGAGUAUGGUAGGGGUAGAGGGAAUUUCCAGUGGAGCGGUGAAAUGCGUAGAUAUUGGAAAGACCACCAAUGGCGAAGGCACUCUACUGGGCCAUUACUGACACUGAGAGACGAAAGCUAGGGGAGCAAAUGGG
rnacentral:rRNA from 1 species